CUUCCCGCAGGAUUUACGACCAGCGGAAGAUCGACGAGAACGAGAACAACGGCGUCCUGAAGAAGUUCUGCCCCCACCACCUGGUGAACAGCGAGUCCAAAGCCAACAUCACGUGCCUGGUUUACAGCCACGACGGCUCCGAGCUGCUGGCCAGUUACAACGACGAGGACAUUUACCUCUUCGACGCCGGGCACAGCGACGGCGCCCAGUACAGCAAACGCUACAAGGGGCACCGCAACAACGCCACGGGUGGGGGCUCGGGGGGGGCCCUGGCACCCCAAAAACCUCGGGGGGGGCUGGGGGAGGGGCCCCCGAAAGUUGGGUCCCCCCGGGGGGGCGGGAAGUGCCGGGAUUCCCGAAAAAUCUGAACGCGCAGAGGCGCCCGGGCGCCUGCCGGGUUGGUGUGACCCCGUGGGGUUUGGGGGGUUUUUGGGGGGUAAAACCACCCCAAAAUCUUCCCAAAAUCUCUGUCCUAUAUGGGAAGGGUCCCCCCAAAUUUGUGUCCCUGUAGGGGGUCGGGAAAUCCCAGAAUUCCCAAAAAUCUGAGCUCGCGGAGGCGGCCGGUCACCUCCCGGGUUGAUGUGACCCCGUGGGGUUUGGGGGGGUUUUGGGGGGUAAAACCACCCCAAAACCUCCCCAAAAUCUUUGUCCUAUAUGGGAAGGGUCCCCCCAAAUUUGUGUCCCUGUGGGGGGUCGGGAAAUCUCAGAAUUCCCAAAAAUCUGAGCUCCCAGAGGCCCCGGUCACCUCCCAGCACCUCCCAGGUUGAUGUCACCCUGUGGGGUUUGGGGGGCAAAAACACUGCAAAAACCCCUCAAGGUGCCCCAAAAUCUUCCCAAAAUCUCUGUCCUAUAUGGGAGGGGUCCCCCCAAAUUUGUGUCCCUGUUGGGGGGUCGGGAAAUCCCGGAAUUCCCAAAAAUCUGAGCUCCCAGAGUCACCAAUCACCUCCCAGCCCGGCCCAGGGAGGGCUGGAAAAAAGG